UCCCCCCUCCCCCCCCAACCACACCUUUUGGGUUUGGCAGUGUCUGGAGGCAUCGUUGGUUGUCACAAUUGGGUGAGGGGUUUGCCACUGGCACCUAAUGGGUAGAGGCCAGGGAUGCUGCUAAAUAGUGGUUGUUUAGCUCAGGACACCCCACCCCACCCCGUCACCCCACCUCACGGGCACAGACAAAAACUCAUCUUGCCCAAAAUGUCAAUAUCGCGGGGUUGAGAAUGUAGAACAAUCCCUUUUUCUGAGGGGAUACAUACUGAGAUAUUAGGCUGAAUCACAUGACAUUGUCUCUUGCGUAGGUCAAGUAUCGGCAAUACUUAAGGACGAAGGGUUAUGACGUUCACAACAAACUCUCAAAAUAAUGAACAAGCCCUUCCGCCCCGGCUGCCCCGCGACCUAGGGGACCCGAGAAGGGCGCACUAGCCCGGGGCGCGGAGGCCAACGCCGAGCCUGCGCGGUGGGAGGCGCUGAGAGCUCACUGCGCACGCGCCGGUCGGCCGGCCGCACCCACGCGGCUCAGCUCGCGAAGUUGCAGACAGCCCGGCGAACCGCUCAAUGCGCUUCUUCUGCCCGCCGCAGAGAAAGGGAAAGAAAACUUCGCAGGGGUUCCGUUGGCUUCUCGACGACUGACAAAGAUGCUUUCCCAGAUAGAAGACCGGAGCCCUGCUCCUUUGCGAUCCGCCAAGGGCUGCAGAGAGCAUCCUCAUCCAUUUGGGCACCCCUGUCCAGGAAGAGCCCGGCCAUCCCUUUCCAGAUUGGAUCCUUCAGAGGUGAAUUUUCUUCGGUGGAUUCCGAUUUGCUCCGUCUGACCAGCCUAGGCAAUCCAGCAUCGCGUGGUACCAGUGCCCCUGGGCACACUUGCUUCACGCCGGCGCCAGCUCCGCCUCGCCAGCAAGCGCAUUCCCAGGGAAAACUAUUCAGUGCCCAGCUUCUUUCUUCUAGGGAUGAAGGAAGGAAGAGGAAGAAUAUAUUUUCCAGAACAUCAAGAACCAUGUUUGUACAUAGAAGAUAGCUCCUUCGCAUGUAAUUGGUGCUCUUUCUCUCAUAGUCGGCACUUCUUGGAACAUAGAAAGACCUCAGUGAAGACCUGCAGUGAAUGAAUAAAAGAAGCUGCACGAGUACAAAGGAAACCACUCAUCUAUACACAGUCUUGCUAAAUUAUGCUUGCCAAAUUAUGCCUGCCAAAUUAUGCCUGCCAUUGAGUUUCUUACCAAAAUGCAGUGCAAUGAGGAAAAUAAAUAGAAUGGGGUAAACUUUCAUAAUAUUAUGUGGUUUAUAUUACACUUUAUUCCACUCUUUUAGUAUUAAAAAGCCCUGCACUGCCUAUGAUAAAAUGGUGGUAUUUGUAGAGGAUAGUUUUCCAUUCUGUGAUUUUUAAAAGGACAUUACUUGGAAGAUUAAAACUGG
rnacentral:lncRNA from 1 species